GGCUUAGAGUGAAACAAAGGAACCCACUGGCUGUUCUGACGCAGCGAUGUAUGCACAUUUUUGAGAAACACACCAGGAGCGGACUCUGCACGCCAUCUCUCCUGCAAUCUGCUCCAAAUAUCUGGGUCAGGAAGGUCUGAGAGAGCUGCUGCCUUUUCUUUCCAGCGCACCUUGGUAAUCCGAGGAGCAACUGUAGCGAGGUGCAUUCGGUCCUACGAAGCAGCAUCGUGAAGAGAGAGAAGUCUCCCCACAGGGAAGACGCGGGAGUGCAGGAAGCGCUCUUUCCUUUUCUGAUGUCUUUGUUCAGCCUAGUGAACUGCGCGGCAGUUACGCUGAGAGAUUCCGGAAGCGAUAGCCGAGGAUUUAAAAGUGGGGAAUCUCGCCAAAGAUCUACAUGUUGGUGACAAGAACCAUGGGUCUACUGUAUGGUCCAGGAGAUUGGGAAUGGGAGGCUCACCCAGAGCCUCCAUUUCACACUUUAGCACUUCCAACUGAAACUUGGUGCCCUAAGUGCCUCCUGUUUUUCCUGACCAGUGACCUGGGUGCUGUUGUCUGACGUGUCAGUGAGUGCAGAGCACAGUGGUGUUCACUGCAGCCUACCUUUGAGCUGACUCUGUGGCCUGUGACCAGUGCUCUGUGUCAGCCUGAGCCUGCCUGUCAUGGUGUACUACCACUGCAAAAACUCACAGAAGACGUGCUAUGCUGGGAGUUGCACCUGGAAGUCACAUGCGUCUUCAAUGGGGCAUCACACACUGCAGCUCGACUACCUGGUCGCCAAGGUGGACGCUGACUGGGGCGCAACACCUGACUGUCCUAUCAGGUGUCCUAAUCUGACUCUUCAACCUGAGAAUGCACAAGAGCAAGAUGCCCACUGGGGCACUGCAGAUGACAGAGACACUGUUCUCUGGGGCUUGCUGGUCACCAUGCUCAAUGACGACAUUCGUCAUGCUGCAGCUAGUCUUUGCAGGAGUUGUGGACAGACCUCAGCGACCACCCAGCACCUACUGCCAGAGCUACAGCUUUACCUGGUCAUGGCCUUUUCGCCUUGAUCUUCAUGUUCUUCUUCCUAGCAGUGACUCUGGCCAUAGCCUGGUGCCUGCAGUGCUCCUCCAGCCCUGCAAUUCAGCCUGGUCCAAGACUGGACGUGGAGUUGCUCCCACUUCAGCAAGAGAGAUUUGCCCUAUUCCUACAGUCAAUAUGUGACUUCAGAUAUUGCAAAGUCUUAAUUUCUUCAAGUUAACUCAGAAACAUCUUCAACUAGAUAGUUUCUGUAGUACCAGCGGUGAAGCCUUAACUAUUACAUUGGAUUCAAAUGUAUUCGUGUGAGUUUUAACACUUUUAUUUCAUAAAUAUCACCCUGCUGUAAGCAAUCCUGCUUAUUUUUUGUUGUCUUUAGGGGUGUGGGAGAGCUCUACAAGUUUGUUUGCUAGUUUCUAUGUAUAUUUUGAUUUGUUUCAUUAGCCCAGAAAAUUCCUUUAGGCAAAACUUUGUGCCUAUUAAUGUACGUUCUGAAAAAUUAUGUUUCUGGCUAAAGAGUUCUUUCCUCGAAAUAUUGAAGGAGGUUCACUGCAUCUUUAAGUUUCUGCUCUUGGGCUACAUCAUAUUUGUCUUUGAGAACCUGUAGAUUUGGUUGUGUAAGAACAUAGAGUCUCUCUCCAAGAACUAUUCUGACCUUUGAUUAUUUCCCUUCAUCAUUUUCCAGAGCCUUCUCAGUCAUGCUGUCCAUGGGUUGGCUGCCAAUAUCUGGCCCAAUUUGUUCCUAAAAUUGUCAGCCUCUGGAAUGCAGAGAUCAUUCUUCCCUAACUUCUGUGUAAGGAUAAAUAAAUCACACUAAGCCCAAGACACUUUAGUUAGUAACCUUUUACUAAUUUGCAAUGAGUAAAAGAAGGAAGGCAAUAUAGUUUUAAAAUCUUGCUGUUUUAGAAAACCAACUUCUUUUGGAGAAAACAUUAAGUGUGGAUGUAGGAGAAUACAUAUUAUCCUAAUAUAGACUAUCUAAAAAUAAAGAUGUGGCCUUUUUAUUUUCAAUUUUGAAAAAUAUCACUACCUCUUGUGUCUCUUAAAUUUAGUCUAAAUUAGAUAUUCAUGUGACAUUUUUCCAAUGAAAUUCCAAGAGCCCAGUGGUUUUUUUGUUGAUUGUUUGUUCGUUCGUUUUGGCCACGUGGCGUGGCACGCAGGAUCUUAGUUCCCCGACCAAGGAUCAAACCCCUGCCCCCUGCAGUGGGAACAUGGAGUCUUAACCACUGGAUGGCCAGGGAAGUCCAAGCCCAGUGUUAUUUUAAUAUAUCAAAAUAUAUUACUUUCAGCUGAGUUGAAGGUCUUUUAAAAGCCCAUAUUAGGGCUUCCCUGGUGGCGGAGUGGUUGAGAGUCCACCUGCCGAUACAGGGGACACGGGUUCGUGCCCCAGUCCGGGAAGAUCUCACAUGCCGCGGAGCGCCUGGGCCCAUGAGCCGUGGCCGCUGAGCCUGCGCAUCCGGAGCCUGUGCUCCGCCACAACAGCGAGAGGCCCGCGUACUG
rnacentral:lncRNA from 1 species